AAUAGUUCCAAUGUUUUCCUCUUCCUGUAAUAAUCAUGCAUAUGCCCAGCUGUGUGUCUCCCCAGGCUCAUGAAUUUGCAGAAUGGCCCCAGUUAGGCUCCCUCUUAUCUUGGGGGGCAAUUGCCAAGGCUGAUCCAAGGAGAAAUGUAUGGUAGAAGGAAAGCUUCACAUUAUUUAGCCGGGCUCUGAUCCCUUCAAUGCCUGUAGCUCUUGGAUACAGCCCUGCACCCCUCUCCCCCUGACCUCCCCUAGUUUACAUUGCACUCCCCUGUCCACUGGCUGCUGGAAAGUCUGAUAAAAGGGCUGAAAUAGACCUUGUCUCCCAACACAGCCAGCAGGGCCGGGCUCUGCCAAAAUGGUGGUGGUUGAUACCAGGUAAAAGGCAGAAAACUGAUUUCCCAUCCCUCUUCUCCAUUUUCUAGGAUCCAAGUGAGUCCUAGUUCAGAGAAGAAUGACUGUCUCCCAGCUGGGAGCAGCAGGUUAGGAGCUCCUGCCUACGCUGUGUCACGUGGGCUGUGAGACCGCCAUUCCUUUUCGACUCCUGCCUGCCCGCCCAGGUGAGCUCUUCGGGGUUUCUCUGAUUGGUGGGCACCGGCCUAGAGUCAUUUCUUCGGGAAGGAGGCUCUCCCUGGAAAAGCUGAUCUGCAAUUCGGCUGGGAUCGAUGCCGUGGAGACUGCAUAAAUUGGCUGACCCUCAACAUAAACAUCUCAAGGACUUGGCACUGAACCCCACGUUUACCUGGCUGAACUCCAUGGUAAUGGCAAGUGCUGAUCAAGUUGUAGAAGGCUGAAAAGAUAUCAGAAGAGAAGAGGGAGUUUUGAGCAGGUAAAGUGGGUAUGUAUUAUUGAUUUUUUCACUUUGAGAAAAUUUUUGGAAAAAAAAA
rnacentral:lncRNA from 1 species